CGCCGCGCGAGACCUGGACGCGCCAGAUGGACUUCAUCAUGUCGUGCGUGGGCUUCGCCGUGGGCUUGGGCAACGUGUGGCGCUUUCCCUACCUGUGCUACAAGAACGGCGGAGGUGUGUUCCUUAUUCCCUACGUCCUGAUCGCCCUGGUUGGAGGAAUCCCCAUUUUCUUCUUGGAGAUCUCGCUGGGCCAGUUCAUGAAGGCCGGCAGCAUCAAUGUCUGGAACAUCUGUCCCCUGUUCAAAGGUGAGCAGCCCUUGGCCAGCCUCAGGGACUGCCCCCUUUUCCCAGCUGGCUCCCGCUUGAGAAAUCUUUUCCUGUCGUGAGCACCAGGCCUGGGGCCACGUGAUGGCGUCCCAGUCUCGAGGGGGGAGCCUGGAGGAGAUGUUCAGGACGCUGGGGCACAGACAGGUGGAGCGACGUACUGAGGUUGCCCACUGCAGGGGCGACUGUCUCCAACACUACCUCAG
rnacentral:sRNA from 1 species